rnacentral:rRNA from 1 species
UGCCACCCGCUAGCCCGCCAAAUACACAAACCCGUUUUCCCCACUAAACUAAAACAUCCGUCAAGCCAAGUAUCAGCGACAGAAAAGCACUCAUAGACGCAACAGCAAAAGUACCGCAAGGGACCACUGAAAAAAUAAAUGAAAUAAUACUAAAGCACAACACAGCAGGGAUCAACCCCUAUACCUUUCGCAUCAUGGUUUAGCAAGUAAUAACAGGUGUAGAGCCCUAUAACCUGUCACCCCGAAGCCAGACGAGCUACCCUGCAGCAAUCCUAAAGGAUGAACCCGUCUCUGUGGCAAAAGAGUGGGAAGACUGUGGGGUAGAGGUGAAACGCCUACCGAGCCUGGAGAUAGCUGGUUGCCCAUAAAAUGAAUUUAAGUUCAACUGCAGGCGAAACUAAACUACACAAUACAUAUCACCGACACACCUGCAAGUUAUACAAUAAGGGUACAGCUUUAUUGUAACUGAGUACAAUCAAAAUUAGAGGGACAGUAUACCCAACAACACUAGUAGGCCCUUAAGCAGCCACCAAAAAAAAUCGCGUCACAGCAUAAAACCAUAAAAUCCUAAACAAAUACUCCACCCCCUAUGACAAACUGGGCCAUUUUAACAACAACUUAAAAGAAACACUACUAAAACUAGUAAUAAGAACAAACUCUCUAACAGCACACCCUCAACUCAGAAUUAGAUAAUCUACUGAAAACUAACAGCCCACCAACACCGGACAAAACAUCCACACCAAGACACCUGCUUUCAUAAAACUGUUACACCAACACAGGAGUGCUAAAAAGACCGAUUUAAAAUCAUAAAAGGAACUCAGCUAAUAUGCCCCAACUGUUUACCAAAAACAUAGCCUUUAGCCCAGCAACAAGUAUUAAAGGUCCUGCCUGCCCAGUGACACUCUUUUAACGGCCGCGGUAUCCUAACCGUGCAAAGGUAGCGUAAUCAUUUGUCCUCUAAAUAGGGACUAGUAUGAAUGGCUAAAUGAGGGCCUAACUGUCUCUUAUGAUUAAUCAAUGAACCUGAUCUUCCCGUACAAAAGCUGGAAUAAACACAUAAGACGAGAAGACCCCGUGGAGCUUAAAACAACACCAUUACCCACCACCCAAAAAGCCUACUAGGUUACCACACCAAAUACAAUAAUGAUAGUUUUCAGUUGGGGCGACAUCGGAAUAUAAUAAAACUUCCGAGCCACAGAUUAACACCCUACCAAGACCCACAAGCCAAGGUAAACCACCAAUUUGACCCAGUACUACUGACCAUCGAACCAAGUUACCCCGGGGAUAACAGCGCCAUCCUCUUCAAGAGCCCCUAUCGACAAGAGGGUUUACGACCUCGAUGUUGGAUCAGGACAUCCCGGUGGUGCAGCCGCUACCAAAGGUUCGUUUGUUCAACGAUUAACCAGUCCUACGUG